CCACCAUCGUUGCUUCGGCGGACUCGCCCCAGCCCGGACGCGGACUGGACCAGCGGCCCGCCGGGGACCUCAAACUCUUGUAUUCCAGCAUCUUCUGAAUACGCCGCAAGGCAAAACAAAUGAAUCAAAACUUUCAACAACGGAUCUCUUGGCUCUGGCAUCGAUGAAGAACGCAGCGAAACGCGAUAAGUAAUGUGAAUUGCAGAAUCCAGUGAAUCAUCGAAUCUUUGAACGCACAUUGCGCCCGCCAGCAUUCUGGCGGGCAUGCCUGUUCGAGCGUCAUUUUCAACCCUCGACCUCCCCUUGGGGAGGUCGGCGUUGGGGACCGGCAGCACACCGCCGGCCCUGAAAUGGAGUGGCGGCCCGUCCGCGGCGACCUCUGCGCAGUAAUACAGCUCGCACCGGAACCCCGACGCGGCCACGCCGUAAAACACCCAACUUCUGAACGUUGACCUCGAAUCAGGUAGGACUACCCGCUGAACUUAAGCAUAUCAAUAAGCGGGAGGAA
rnacentral:rRNA from 1 species